GAUGAACGCUGGCGGCGUGCCUAAUACAUGCGAGUCGAGCGAACAGACGAGGAGCUUGCUCCUCUGACGUUAGCGGCGGACGGGUGAGCAACACGUGGAUAACCUACCUAUAAGACUGGGAUAACUUCGGGAAACCGGAGCUAAUACCGGAUAACAUGUUGAACCGCAUGGUUCAACAGUGAAAGACGGUCUUGCUGUCACUUAUAGAUGGAUCCGCGCCGCAUUAGCUAGUUGGUAAGGUAACGGCUUACCAAGGCAACGAUGCGUAGCCGACCUGAGAGGGUGAUCGGCCACACUGGAACUGAGACACGGUCCAGACUCCUACGGGAGGCAGCAGUAGGGAAUCUUCCGCAAUGGGCGAAAGCCUGACGGAGCAACGCCGCGUGAGUGAAGAAGGUCUUCGGAUCGUAAAACUCUGUUAUUAGGGAAGAACAAAUGUGUAAGUAACUAUGCACGUCUUGACGGUACCUAAUCAGAAAGCCACGGCUAACUACGUG
rnacentral:rRNA from 1 species